GGAAAUUUUGAGAAACCAAAAUUUUUUUUUCUGUUCUCUUUCUGCAUCCGCCCCAGUACCUUCACUUUCUUUCAUGUCCAAUUAGGGUUUUGCUCCUCUCCCAUUCUCCGCCAAAUUAUCCAAUUAAUCGAUCAAUAACUCGAUCAAAAGCUUCUAAUGGGCAGUAACAAGCGGAGACAACUCGACGACCACCGUCUAGAUGCCAACAAGAAACACCAGCAGUCACCUUCCUCCUCCUCUGCAACAACACCCAACACUCAAUCCUCGUCUAAUCCCAGCACUAAACGCCCAACCUUCCCUUCCUAUCUAGACAUCCCUAAUCUCCCUCCCAAAAUUAAGCUCCUCUGCGAAAUCAUCGCUAACACCCCUUCUUCCUCCGUCGAAGCCGUUUUUGGCAACGCCGGCGUCCAUGUCUCCCAGUCCGACGUCGAGCAAGUCCUCAAGCUUUCUUACUCAUUCCCUGGCCCCGCCGUCAAGUUCUUCCGCUGGGCCGGUUUUCAGCUCCAAGAUAAUCACAGCCCUUACUCUUGGAAUCUCAUUGUGGACAUUUUAGGUAAGAAUUCUUUGUUUGAUGCUAUGUGGGAUGCUAUUAAGUCUAUGAGACGAGAAGGGUUGGUUUCUUUAGCAACGUUUGCUUCUGUAUUUGAUAGUUAUGUUAUUGCUGGUAGAGUUAAAGAAGCUAUUAUGACCUUUGAGGUUAUGGAUCAAUAUGGUUGUCCCCGAGAUGUUGUUGCCUUGAAUUCCUUAUUGAGUGCUAUUUGUAGAGAUGGGAAGAAUGUUGAUGCUGUUGAGUUUUUGCAUGUGGCCAGUAAUGUCAUUAAGCCUGAUGCUGAUACUUAUGCCAUUCUUUUGGAGGGGUGGGAAAAGGAAAUGAAUGUGCUUAGUGCUAGACAAACUUUCAUGGAGAUGAUUAGAGAUAUUGGUUGGGAUCCUGUUAAUGUUCCAGCAUAUGAUACGUUUUUGUGUACUUUGCUAAUGGACCGUGAUGGGUUGGAUGAGGCCAUUGGGUUUUUGCAGACAAUGAAGGAUAGGGAGUGUUGUCCAGGAAUGAGAUUUUUUAGAGCAGCACUCAAGGAGUGCUCGAAGUUAAUUGAUGUUAGAAGAGCUGGGUUAAUUUGGGAGGUAAUGGUGGAGAGAAAUAGGCUUAUGCCCGAUACCGAGCUGUAUAAUUUGAUGAUUACUUUACAUUGUUAUGCUAGCAAUACUGAUGUGGCACAAAGGUUUUUGGAUGAGAUGGUUUAUAAUGGGGCCUUUCCUGAUAGUCUAACCUAUAAUUUGAUGUUCCAGUUCUUGAUUAAGAGUAGGAAGUUGAAGGAUGCUUCAGUGCUGUUCAAUGAAAUGAUGAAAAAUGAGUUCAUUCCUAAUCAAGCAAAUUGCAGUGCGGCUGUUAGGGUAUAUAUAAAUUCAGAGGACCCUUAUAUGGCUAUCAAAAUCUGGAAAUGCAUGAUAGAGAAUUACAAAACAGACUUGGAGGAGACGGGAAAUUUGUUGGUUGCUGGGCUGUGGGAUCUCCGCAUGGAUCCUGAAGCAGUAAAAUAUGCUGAAGGUAUGAUCGAAAAGGGAAUCAAGCUCAGUUCUUCAUCAUUGGCAAAAUUGAAACAGAGCCUUACUCGAGCAAGAAAGGAUUUUGUGUACGAGGCACUUCUAGGAAAGUGGAAUGCACAUUCGAUAGUUUAGGUCUUAGUGUAUCUAAAGAAUACAACAGUGCUUUAGCUCACUGCUGGAUGUUAAAGAUACUGUGUACAGUUUAUGUAUUCUUUUGUUGGGGAAAAAUGAUUUUUUUUUUUUUUGGCAAGAGCCCAUCAUUGCUCUUAUAAUGUAACACCUAAUGCAAAUGGCGCGAAACAUUACAAUGAGGUAGAGCUUUAGACGGAUUGUUUGUUGGGUAGAAGGCAAGGUGAAAAAAACAAUCAGCAAAAUAGCAUCAUGGUACAAGUCUUCAAGACUAGAUAGAAGUCAAGGAGAUGAUAAGAAAUAGGCAAAGAUAGAAAGUGAGGGAGAAGAUCCUCUAAUGUUAUGGAAAAAGAAAAUGGGAUAAAAUAAGAAAGCAGUCAAGCCCAGUGACUCAAUUUAAUCCUCACUAUUAAGAAGCUAACAAACUCAACUACAGCAAGAUAUGUAAAACAAAUCCUACAAAUAUGAAACUUCCUCAACUUAAAAAUGUCCACAAGAUAUGGGCUUUAGAGGCUAAUGUUGCAAAGCAUAAGAUACAAAUAGUAAA
rnacentral:misc_RNA from 1 species